UACGUAGGGUGCGAGCGUUAAUCGGAAUUACUGGGCGUAAAGCGUGCGCAGGCGGUGAUGUAAGACAGGUGUGAAAUCCCCGGGCUUAACCUGGGAACUGCAUUUGUGACUGCAUCGCUGGAGUGCGGCAGAGGGGGAUGGAAUUCCGCGUGUAGCAGUGAAAUUCGUAGAUAUUGGGAAGAACACCGGUGGCGAAGGCGGCUAUCUGGACCGACAUUGACGCUGAGGCGCGAAAGCGUGGGGAGCAAACAGG
rnacentral:rRNA from 1 species